rnacentral:rRNA from 1 species
UACGUAGGGUGCGAACGUUGUUCGGAAUCACUGGGCAUAAAGGGCGUGUAGGCGGUCGUACAAGUCAGAUGUGAAAGCCCCCGGCCUAACCGGGGAACUGCAUUUGAUACUGUGCGGCUAGAGUGCAGGAGGGGAGAGUGGAAUUCCUGGUGGAGCGGUGAAAUGCGUAGAUAUCAGGAGGAACGCCGGUGGCGAAAGCGACUCUCUGGCCUGUUACUGACGCUGAGGCGCGAAAGCUAGGGGAGCAAAC